rnacentral:rRNA from 1 species
UACGAGGGGGGCAAAUGUUGUUCGGAAUCACUGGGCGUAAGGGGAGCGUAGGCGGGCUCUUAAGUUAGGUGUUUAAUCCCGGGGCCCAACCCCGGUCGUGCACUUAAAACUGGGAGUCUUGAAUAGUGGAGAGGUCAGUGGAAUUGGGGGUGUAGCGGUGGAAUGCGUAGAGAUCCCCAAGAACACCAGUUGCGAAGGCGGCUGACUGGACACAUAUUGACGCUGAGGCUCGAAAGCAUGGGGAGCAAACAGG